GAUGAACGCUAGCGGCAGGCCUAACACAUGCAAGUCGAGGGGUACAGUAGCAAUACUGGAGACCGGCGCACGGGUGCGUAACGCGUAUGCAAUCUACCUUUUACAGAGGGAUAGCCCAGAGAAAUUUGGAUUAAUACCUCAUAGUAUAUUUGGGUGGCAUCACCUGAUUAUUAAAGUUCCAACGGUAAAAGAUGAGCAUGCGUCCUAUUAGCUAGAUGGUAAGGUAACGGCUUACCAUGGCUACGAUAGGUAGGGGUCCUGAGAGGGAGAUCCCCCACACUGGUACUAAGACACGGACCAGACUCCUACGGGAGGCAGCAGUGGGGAAUAUUGGACAAUGGGCGCAAGCCUGAUCCAGCCAUGCCGCGUGCAGGAAGACGGUCCUAUGGAUUGUAAACUGCUUUUGUACGGGAAGAAACACUCCUACGUGUAGGAGCUUGACGGUACCGUAGGAAUAAGGAUCGGCUAACUCCGUGCCAGCCGCCGCCGUAAGAC
rnacentral:rRNA from 1 species